UACGAGGGCCCCGAGCGUUAUCCGGAAUCAUUGGGCGUAAAGGGUGUGUAGGUGGUUGUGUUAGUCACUCGUUAAAAAUCUGGGCUUAACCCAGGGAAUGCGAGUGAAACGGCACGACUAGAGGAUGGCAGGGAUGUAUGGAACUCAUGGAGUAGGGGUGAAAUCCGUUGAUAUCAUGGAGAACACCAAAAGCGAAGGCAGUACAUUGGGCCACUCCUGACACUGAAACACGAAAGCGUGGGUAGCGAAUGGG
rnacentral:rRNA from 1 species